GUUGCUGAACGAUGUGCGUCUGGACCUGAUGGCACUCAUACAUGCUCCUCCACAUGCCCAUCAAUCUGCAUCUCACAAGACAACAUUGUUGGACAGUGACAAGAUAGAGAAUGCAGCAGAGUGACCCUCAUGGUAGAAUACUUCAUUCUGAUGGAAAUGCGGCUAGAACGAAAUACUGGGAUUACAAUGAGACAUCUCAAGCCAAAAGAGGCUGCAGCACUGACAGAAUUAAGGACAAGAAGUGAAGAAGAGAAUGUCCUGUGAGAGAGCAAAGGAAAUGUUUGAGUAAAACAACAACUUUCAGAUGGCCACUGUACCUUAACCUCAAGAUAGAGCUUCUUCUCCCA